GACGAACUGCCCAAACGUUGUUCGGAAUCACUGGGCUUAAAGGGUGCGUAGGCGGCGCGGUAAGUCGGGUGUGAAAUCUCGGAGCUUAACUCCGAAACUGCAUUCGAUACUGCCGUGCUUGAGGACUGGAGAGGAGACUGGAAUUUACGGUGUAGCGGUGAAAUGCGUAGAUAUCGUAAGGAAGACCAGUGGCGAAGGCGGGUCUCUGGACAGUUCCUGACGCUGAGGCACGAAGGUCAGGGGAGCAAACGGG
rnacentral:rRNA from 1 species